AGUGAACGCUGGCGGCAGGCCUAACGCAUGCAAGUCGAGCGGCAGCGCGGGGGCAACCCUGGCGGCGAGCGGCGGACGGGUGAGGAAUGCGUCGGCAUCUGCCUGUUGGUGGGGGAUAACGUUCCGAAAGGAACGCUAAUACCGCAUACGUCCUACGAGAGAAAGUGGGGGCUCUUCGGACCUCACGCUAAUAGAUGAGCCUAGGUCGGAUUAGCUAGUUGGUGAGGUAACGGCUCACCAAGGCGACGAUCCGUAGCUGGUCUGAGAGGAUGAUCAGCCACACUGGAACUGAGACACGGUCCAGACUCCUACGGGAGGCAGCAGUGGGGAAUAUUGGACAAUGGGCGAAAGCCUGAUCCAGCCAUGCCGCGUGUGUGAAGAAGGUCUUCGGAUUGUAAAGCACUUUAAGUUGGGAGGAAGAGUUGUAAGCUAAUAUCUUGCAGCUUUGACGUUACCAACAGAAUAAGCACCGGCUAACUCUGUGCCAGCCGCCGCGGUAACAC
rnacentral:rRNA from 1 species